AGUUUUUGCUGAAUUGCUAAUGUGCAAAACUGUUGAAUGCAGCAAUGUAAAAAUGAGUGACGUAUUAAUAUACUUAUAUUGUUUUUGUAUUUUUGUCUUUCAAUAAUAAUGGGAAUAAUUACUGUUUAUCGUCUAUUCCUAAACUAAUGGUAUAUGUUAUCAAAUGUUGUUAUGUAUGUUAUGUAUAUUUGUGGAAAUGUCCAAAUGGUCAAAACUCUCAUCUAAAUGUUUGUUGUGUAAUAUGUUAAAUGUUUCUUUCUUGUUGUUUAAUACAUGUCAAAUGUUACUUUAUGUGUUCCUCAUUUCUUCAACAGUCUGUCUUUUCCGGACACGAUUCACUUCCUAUGCCUAACAUUGCUAUUAUUUUGUGACUAUUCAGUUGAGUUGUGAUUAUCUGUUCCAAAGUAAGCCUCUUGCUAAUUAAACCCAGUUUUUAUGCAUCGGAAACUCGCCAAGUAAAGCAGUACAGAGUUCAACUAAACCCGUUCCAAGAUUGUGGAAACAAUCUCCGUAACUUAGCCUAAGUUUGAAGAGUAGUGCCAACUGCCAAGAGUGAUCUUUUGGACUUGUGCCUUGCGAUAUUCACUUGGAUGGACACUUAGAAAAUGGCACUCACAAAUUCACAGAACGUAACUUUUAUAUAAUCGAUGGAACCACUCCACAAUAAGGUGAACCUGUUUCGAAUUACAGAAAAGUGUUCUACUUUUAUAAUUUUUAACGCAACUAAACUGGAGCUGAUCACUUGAAAGAUGGACCUGUAAUUGAUAACGCGGAGGCUUUCUGUCUUUAAUGUAUCUUAUAUUUAUUUUUAUAUUGUAACUUAUCGUAUUGGAAUAUCUUGCCCACCAAGGGAGAAGAACCGAUAAAUAUUAUAAAAACUACAUAAGUUUACGUUAAGAUCAUUAAUUUACUUCUAUGUGAAUCGUUGUAAAAUGUUGUUUUAUUCCAGAAGCUUAUACAUGUUGUUAUUAUGGAAUAGAAAUAUGAAAAUAGAAAUGAG